AAAUGUACAUUCAAACUCUUCGUUUUCUUUCAACAAAAGUUUCAUAAUUUCUUUACACACUCAACUGUUAACUGGGUCAAUUUGACCUUGCUAUAACACUUUCUGCAUAUCUGCGCAAAUAUCAGAUGAAAUAUACACAAUGUCCUAUAGAGAAAGAUGGAUAAAGCUUGAAAUGAAAUCUUUCAAUCGUUUAUAUCAACAAUGACUCCUCUGUAAGUAUGGUUAAGAGGGAGUACUUCACUUUCAUUCUUAUCCUACUAUCUUCUACACACAGCUUUGCACCAGUAACCACCCAGUAACCAGG
rnacentral:misc_RNA from 1 species